rnacentral:rRNA from 1 species
GAUGAACGCUGGCGGCGUGCCUAAUACAUGCAAGUCGAGCGAAUGGAUUAAGAGCUUGCUCUUAUGAAGUUAGCGGCGGACGGGUGAGUAACACGUGGGUAACCUGCCCAUAAGACUGGGAUAACUCCGGGAAACCGGGGCUAAUACCGGAUAACAUUUUGAACCGCAUGGUUCGAAAUUGAAAGGCGGCUUCGGCUGUCACUUAUGGAUGGACCCGCGUCGCAUUAGCUAGUUGGUGAGGUAACGGCUCACCAAGGCAACGAUGCGUAGCCGACCUGGGAGGGUGAUCGGCACACUGGGACUGGGCCACGGCCCAGACUCCUACGGGAGGCAGCAGUAGGGAAUCUUCCGCAAUGGACGAAAGUCUGACGGAGCAACGCCGCGUGAGUGAUGAAGGCUUUCGGGUCGUAAAACUCUGUUGUUAGGGAAGAACAAGUGCUAGUUGAAUAAGCUGACACCUUGACGGUACCUAACCAGAAAGCCACGGCUAACUACGUGCCAGCCGCCGCCGUAA